CAUGACUCUACUUGUUAUCAAAACUUCCCAGUCUGUCGUGAAAUUGGCUAUGUUAUUCCUUUAGAACACAGUUGGAGAGAAAAGAACUCUCCACGGGGUCCUUGUCAAAGCACGGAAAAUAAAACUCUCCGACUCCUCUUUCCUACUUCACCAUCCUAAACGCCUAAACCCAAACUAGGAACCGCGGGCACUGCCUUCUCUCCCGGACUCAUCUGUCGCUGCGGAACCCCUCCUCCUCCCAGCCGCGUUUGGGUCCAGUGUGCGACUCGGAAGGCUUUCUUUCCUGUCUGCCGCUCCUCCCCGCCUUUCUUCCCCCGCUGCCACCUCUGGAGGAACCUGCGCGACGCCGGGUGCCAGGUACCGAGUGCCCAGUGCCGGGAGCCGGGUCUCCGGAGGGCCCUGCGUGCAGGUGCGCGAGGUCCGUGCGGCUGCCCUGCGAGUGCGUCGGGAGAACUGCGCUUGCAGGUGUACGACAGUAAACUAAAUAAUUAGCAGAAGUCAAUAAAUGGACACCCAGUUCAGCCACUGAAGAAAGUCUAAGUACGCUGGGAGCAACUUGGGCAUAUGAAUCCCCUUUUUCAACUGUAAACGUUAUGAAAUCUAAGUACGCAUCCAGUUUUUCCGAUGAAAAUAUAACGCCCGAGUGUGCAACCUGCUGUCUGUUGAGUGUCCAAUACAUACUGG